rnacentral:rRNA from 1 species
AUAUCAAUAAGCGGAGGAAAAGAAACUAACAAGGAUUCCCCUAGUAACGGCGAGUGAAGCGGGAAGAGCUCAAAUUUGAAAUCUGGUAGCCUUCGGUUGCCCGAGUUGUAAUCUAGAGAAGUGUUUUCCGCGUUGGCCCAUGUACAAGUCCCUUGGAACAGGGCGUCAUAGAGGGUGAGAAUCCCGUCCUUGACAUGGACCCCCAAUGCUUUGUGAUACACUUUCAACGAGUCGAGUUGUUUGGGAAUGCAGCUCAAAAUGGGUGGUGAAUUCCAUCUAAAGCUAAAUAUUGGCGAGAGACCGAUAGCGAACAAGUACCGUGAGGGAAAGAUGAAAAGCACUUUGGAAAGAGAGUUAAACAGUACGUGAAAUUGUUGAAAGGGAAACGAUUGAAGUCAGUCAUGCUCUUUGGAUUAAGCCGUUCUGCGGUGUAUUUCAUUGAGCGGGGUCAACAUCAGUUUUGAUCGCUGGAAAAGGGCAGGAGGAAGGUAGCACUCUCGGGUGAACUUAUAGCCUCUUGUCGUAUACAGUGAUUGGGACUGAGGAACGCAGCAUGCCUUUUGGCCGGGAUUCGUCCACGUACAUACUUAGGAUGUUGACAUAAUGGCUUUAAACGA